rnacentral:rRNA from 1 species
GACGAACGCUGGCGGCGUGCUUAACACAUGCAAGUCGAACGGAGAUUAUUAAUGAAGCUUGCGAUUUAAUAAUCUUAGUGGCGGACGGGUGAGUAACGCGUGGGCAACCUACCCAUAAGAGGGGGAUAACAGCUGGAAACGGCUGCUAAUACCGCAUAAACUUUUUAAGACACAUGUUUUAAAAAGGAAAGGUGGCGCAAGCUAUCGCUUAUGGAUGGGCCCGCGUCUGAUUAGCUAGUUGGUGGGGUAACGGCCUACCAAGGCAACGAUCAGUAGCCGGCCUGAGAGGGUGGACGGCCACACUGGGACUGAGACACGGCCCAGACUCCUACGGGAGGCAGCAGUGGGGAAUAUUGCGCAAUGGGGGAAACCCUGACGCAGCGACGCCGCGUGAGCGAAGAAGGCCUUAGGGUUGUAAAGCUCUGUUCUAUGGGACGAAGUCCUUGACUGUGAAUAAUGGUCAAGGUUGACGGUACCAUAGGAGGAAGCCCCGGUAACUACGUGCCAGCAGCCGAC